GUUGUUUUGUGUAUUUGGGGGGGGGGGGUAUCAUUUACUCCAAACGGCCGUUGAUGUUGGAUACAUAUCAUGUGAAACUGUAUUGUACAUACUCUAUUUAUGAAAUAUGAUAAGAUUUUCUCUUCUCUUUCAAGCAUUGAAAUAUUAAGUUUUAUGAAAAUCAAAUAGUCCUUUCCAAAAAUUACACAGACCCAUCUAUAGCAAUCUAAUCUGUUGUUCAGUGUUAUGUCUGAGAUUUAGAAUUGUUUUAAAUUUAUGUCCACAAUAAUUUCAACAGGUAAUCAUGUUCAGGAUAUGAAAUAUUUGUCAGUUCUGAGCACUGCUCCAUAGUUUACCAAUAAUUCAUGACUGUACAAUGUAACGUGUGUAAACAAAACUCAAAUCAAAAACAACUCAUCGGCGUGAUCCGUGAACAAGACUAAUUGCCAAACCCUGUCACCUUUGCUUCUGGUCAACAGCACCUUCGACCUGGUCAAGAUUGUGAAGACAGUGUCUGACAGUUCCAUCUUAGAGAUGUUUUCCCUGCUAUGUUCCAGAGCUGUUUUGCUUACAAUCCUUUUUGUCACAUUGCUGGGGAUGGCAGACGCUUGUGGAAGGCCUGGACCACGCCUUAUGGGACUGGCGUUAGAAAAGUGUCAAAACAACUGCGCACACAGCUAUAAUAUCCGGAAAUGCUCUGGCGAAAGAAGUGAUAAAGGCAUCCAAAUGUGUAUCAAUCGAAUCGGCAGUGACUAUCAGCAUUGCAUAGGAGAAUGCUGAGGAUGUCCGAAAUAUCUGAUAGCAGACAUACAGCUUCACUUGCUAUAAUGCCAUUGUGUUCUAAAGAACUUGACGUAUUUAUAUGAAUGACAACAGACAAGUGAAUGAAACACGUGUAAUAAAUUAAGUAUAUACCAUUGUACAGUGAGACUGUGACCUUUUCUUCUACAGUCAGGUGUAUUUUAUACCAUUGUACAGUGAGACUGUGACCUUUUCUUCUACAGUCAGGUGUAUUUUAGAUAUCUUAUUGUUGCAGAUCGUAUUUUUUUUCCUCUUUUUUCCUUGUGUGUAUUGUGUUUUGAUUCGACAUCGAUUUUUCCAAACUGCAUAUUUCUUUCAAACUUUGCAAAGUAUAUUUACCUUCCUUUCUAUGUAAUGCUUAACCAGACCAGAAAGAUUAAAAUAUUUGAUACAUUU